rnacentral:rRNA from 1 species
AUUGAACGCUGGCGGCAGGCCUAACACAUCCAAGUCGAACGAGUGGGGGACGGGUGAGUAAUGUCUGGGAAACUGCCUGAUGGCUGUGGAUAAGUACUGGAAACGGGAGCUAAUACCGCAUACCCUCGGAUGUGACCCGAUGGGAUUCGCUCGUAGGUGGGGUAAAGGCUCACCUAGGCGACGGUCCCUAGCUGGUCUGAGAGGAUGACAAGCCACACUGGAAAUGAGACAAGGUCCAGACUCCUACGGGAGGCAGAAGUCGGUAAUAUUGCACAAUGGGAGGAAGCCUGAUGCAGCAAUGCCGCGGGUAUGAAGAAGGCCUUCGGGUUGUAAAGUACUUUCAGCGGGGAGGCGUUAACUGAAGAAGAAGCACCGGCUAACUCCGUGCCAGCAGCCGCGGUAAUAC